rnacentral:tRNA from 3 species
CGGGAUGUAGCGUAGCCUGGUAGCGCGCUUGCAUGGGGUGCAAGAGGUCGUGAGUUCGAAUCUCACCAUCCCGACCA